rnacentral:rRNA from 1 species
AGAAACAGGAUUAGAUACCCUGGUAGUCCACGCUGUAAACGAUGAGUACUAGGUGUCGGGGGUUACCCCCUUCGGUGCCGCAGCUAACGCAUUAAGUACUCCGCCUGGGAAGUACGCUCGCAAGAGGGAAACUCAAAGGAAUUGACGGGGACCCGCACAAGUAGCGGAGCAUGUGGUUUAAUUCGAAGCAACGCGAAGAACCUUACCUAAGCUUGACAUCCCAAUGACAUCUCCUUAAUCGGAGAGUUCCCUUC